rnacentral:rRNA from 1 species
UGAGGAAUAUUGGUCAAUGGGCGAGAGCCUGAACCAGCCAAAUCGCGUGAAGGAAGACUGCCUUAUGGGUUGUAAACUUCUUUUAUACAGGAAUAAAAAAGGGGACGUGUCCCUUAUUGCAUGUACUGUAUGAAUAAGCAUCGGCUAACUCCGUGCCAGCAGCCGCGGUAAUACGGAGGAUGCGAGCGUUAUCCGGAUUUAUUGGGUUUAAAGGGUGCGCAGGCGGGCUUUUAAGUCAGCGGUGAAAUCUCGGGGCUUAACUCCGAAACUGCCGUUGAAACUGGGAGUCUUGAGUAUGGAUGAAGUAGGCGGAAUUCGUUGUGUAGCGGUGACAUGCUUAGAUAUAACGAGGAACUCCGAUUGCGUAGGCAGCUUACUAAGCCGUAACUGACGCUCAAGCACGAAAGCGUGGGGAUCAAACAGGAUUAGAUACCCUGGUAGUCCACGCCGUAAACGAUGAUUACUAGUUGUAUGCGAUAUACCGUAUGUGACUAAGCGAAAGCGAUAAGUAAUCCACCUGGGGAGUACGCCGGCAACGGUGAAACUCAAAUGAAUUGACGGGGUCAUAGCUGUUUCCUG